rnacentral:rRNA from 1 species
UAACGCGUUAAAUCGACCGCCUGGGGAGUACGGCCGCAAGGUUAAAACUCAAAUGAAUUGACGGGGGCCCGCACAAGCGGUGGAGCAUGUGGUUUAAUUCGAUGCAACGCGAAGAACCUUACCUGGUCUUGACAUCCACAGAACUUUCCAGAGAUGGAUUGGUGCCUUCGGGAACUGUGAGACAGGUGCUGCAUGGCUGUCGUCAGCUCGUGUUGUGAAAUGUUGGGUUAAGUCCCGCAACGAGCGCAACCCUUAUCCUUUGUUGCCAGCGGUUAGGCCGGGAACUCAAAGGAGACUGCCAGUGAUAAACUGGAGGAAGGUGGGGAUGACGUCAAGUCAUCAUGGCCCUUACGACCAGGGCUACACACGUGCUACAAUGGCAUAUACAAAGAGAAGCGACCUCGCGAGAGCAAGCGGACCUCAUAAAGUAUGUCGUAGUCCGGAUUGGAGUCUGCAACUCGACUCCAUGAAGUCGGAAUCGCUAGUAAUCGUAGAUCAGAAUGCUACGGUGAAUACGUUCCCGGGCCUUGUACACACCGCCCGUCACACCAUGGGAGUGGGUUGCAAAAGAAGUAGGUAGCUUAACCUUCGGGAGGGCGCUUACCACUUUGUGAUUCAUGACUGGGGUGAAGUCGUAACAAGGUAACCGUAGGGGAACCUGCGGUUGGAUCACCUCCUUA